GCCGGAGUGGCGGAAUUGGCAGACGCGCAGGACUCAAAAUCCUGUGUCCCUCGGGACGUGUGGGUUCGACCCCCACCUCCGGCA
rnacentral:tRNA from 1 species